AAUGAACGCUGGCGGCAGGCCUAACACAUGCAAGUCGAGCGCCCUUUCGGGGGAGCGGCGGACGGGUGAGUAACGCGUGGGAAUAUGCCCUUCUCUACGGAAUAGCCUCGGGAAACUGAGAGUAAUACCGUAUACGCCCUUUGGGGGAAAGAUUUAUCGGGGAAGGAUUAGCCCGCGUUGGAUUAGGUAGUUGGUGGGGUAAUGGCCUACCAAGCCGACGAUCCAUAGCUGGUUUGAGAGGAUGAUCAGCCACACUGGGACUGAGACACGGCCCAGACUCCUACGGGAGGCAGCAGUGGGGAAUCUUAGACAAUGGGGGCAACCCUGAUCUAGCCAUGCCGCGUGAGUGAUGAAGGCCUUAGGGUUGUAAAGCUCUUUCAGCUGGGAAGAUAAUGACGGUACCAGCAGAAGAAGCCCCGGCUAACUCCGUG
rnacentral:rRNA from 1 species